AAAGACUUGUUUAUAGUGAAAGGAGGGCAAUUGGAAAAUGCCCCUUGACUCCGGAAGAGGUUGGUCUUAUCUUACGUGCAAUGGGGUUUGACAAUUCCUCCCGGAUAUAUCUAGCAGCUGGUGAACUGUUUGGUGGAGAAAGAUUUAUGAAACCUUUUAAAGCCCUGUUCCCUCGACUUGAGAAUCACAGUUCCGUAGACGCAACAGAGGAGCUAGCCACGAACACUCGUGGAUUGUUAGGAUCUGCUGUGG
rnacentral:misc_RNA from 1 species